UGGGGAAUAUUGCACAAUGGGCGCAAGCCUGAUGCAGCGACGCCGCGUGAGGGAUGACGGCCUUCGGGUUGUAAACCUCUUUCAGCUCCGACGAAGCGCAAGUGACGGUAGGAGCAGAAGAAGCACCGGCCAACUACGUGCCAGCAGCCGCGGUAAUACGUAGGGUGCAAGCGUUGUCCGGAAUUACUGGGCGUAAAGAGCUCGUAGGCGGUUUGUCGCGUCGUCUGUGAAAUUCUGCAGCUUAACUGCAGGCGUGCAGGCGAUACGGGCAGACUUGGGUACUGUAGGGGAGACUGGAAUUCCUGGUGUAGCGGUGAAAUGCGCAGAUAUCAGGAGGAACACCGGUGGCGAAGGCGGGUCUCUGGGUAGUAACUGACGCUGAGGAGCGAAAGCGUGGGUAGCGAACAGG
rnacentral:rRNA from 1 species